rnacentral:rRNA from 1 species
UAAGACAGAGGGUGCAAACGUUGUUCGGAAUUACUGGGCGUAAAGCGCGUGUAGGCGGCGUAGCAAGUCGGGCGUGAAAGCCCACGGCUCAACCGUGGAAGAGCACUCGAAACUGCUGCGCUAGAGUUCUGGAGAGGAAGGCGGAAUGCUUGGUGUAGAGGUGAAAUUCGUAGAUAUCAAGCGGAACACCGGUGGCGAAGGCGGCCUUCUGGACAGUGACUGACGCUGAAACGCGAAAGCGUGGGGAGCAAACAGGAUUAGAUACCCUGGUAGUCCACGCCGUAAACGAUGGGUGCUAGGUGUCGCGGGCUUUGACCCUCGCGGUGCCGCAGCUAACGCGUUAAGCACCCCGCCUGGGGAGUACGGCCGCAAGGCUA